rnacentral:rRNA from 1 species
GUACUAGCUUGCUGAUUCCUCCUUCUUGUAGAACCGUAAUGCCAUUAAUUUGGUGUUGCGGGGAAACAGGACUGUUACUUUGAAAAAAUUAGAGUGUUUAAAGCAGGCUAGCGCCUGAAUACAUUAGCAUGGAAUAAUGAAAUAGGACGUUCGAACCUAUUUUGUUGGUUUCUAGGAUUGACGUAAUGAUUAAUAGGGAUAGUUGGGGGCAUUAGUAUUCAAUUGUCAGAGGUGAAAUUCUUGGAUUUAUUGAAGACAGACUACUGCGAAAGCAUUUGCCAAGAAUGUUUUCAUUAAUCAAGAACGAAAGUUAGGGGAUCGAAGACGAUCAGAUACCGUCGUAGUCUUAACCAUAAACUAUGCCGACUAGGGAUCGGAUGAUGUUAAUUUUUUAAUGACUC